CCCCGUAUUUCCCUGCGGGUACCCUACGGGAGCGUGCCGCCAUGUUGUCUUCAUGGGGUGCGGAGCCUUCCAGACAACGUACCGAAUCCCAACUUUGUUGGGAGGGGUGGAAACCGCGAGGUGGACGCUCUCCGGGCAGCCUCAAGCCGGGUGAGGGC
rnacentral:ncRNA from 1 species